UACGGAGGGGGCUAGCGUUGUUCGGAAUUACUGGGCGUAAAGCGCACGUAGGCGGCUUUGUAAGUUAGAGGUGAAAGCCCGGGGCUCAACUCCGGAAUAGCCUUUAAGACUGCAUCGCUAGAAUUGUGGAGAGGUAAGUGGAAUUCCGAGUGUAGAGGUGAAAUUCGUAGAUAUUCGGAAGAACACCAGUGGCGAAGGCGACUUACUGGACACAUAUUGACGCUGAGGUGCGAAAGCGUGGGGAGCAAACAG
rnacentral:rRNA from 1 species